AUGUACGCCGACAUCCAGAAGGGCCGGCCCGGCUGCCGCCCCAUCGACGCCGCCCGCACGGCGGACCUCACGGCGGUCUGGCCGAGGUACUUCCCCGAGGAAACCGAGCACCCGGUCUGGGCGGACGACCCCAGGGCCAGGCUCGUCGGCGACCUGGUUAAGGUCCUGGAGCUGGAGGAGAGGGCGAAGCUCCUCCCACGUAUUGAAGAUGAUGGUGUUGUCUUCUUCCUUCCAAUUGAUUUCCAGCAGCUUAAGAACUUGUGCGGUGGUACCAACCUCUUAGAUGCUCUCAGGGAAAAUCCUAAAGAAGCCUUGCUUUGCAUGGGAGCUGCAGUUCAUCUGGCUAAGUGCUCGGGCAAUGGCCUCCAGUUGAGCGACGUAGACAAGGUCAAUAUCAGGCUUUACAACCACACCGAGACAAUAAUUGCUUUGAAGAAUUUGAAAGCGGCCUCUAUUAAGAAACUAGUGACAGUGCGUGGUACUGUUGUAAAAGUCAGUACUGUGAAACCUCUAGUUCUGGCGCUGGAGUUUCAGUGCAUGAAGUGUGCUACAGUCAUCCGUCGUGUGUUCUCUGACGGGAAAUUUUCACCUCCGGUAUCCUGCAUAAUUCAGGGCUGCAAGGGCAGAACCUUCACCCCAGUGAGAUCUACUGCCAAGUUGAUAGAUUUUCAGAAAAUAAGGAUACAGGAGCUUUCUAGUGCUGAAAACCGUGAAGAAGGCCGAGUGCCACGAACUAUAGAAUGUGAGCUUACAGAAGAUCUUGUAGAUUGUUGCAUCCCUGGAGAGGUUGUAACGGUAGCUGGAAUCGUCAAAGUGCUGAACAACUAUAUGGAUGUUGGAGGAGGUAAGUCCAAAAGCAGAAAUCAGGGUUUAUACUACUUGUACUUGGAAGCAAUCUCAGUAAGGAACUCCAAGGCCCAUGUUGUUUCAGAAAAUUCAGAUGCAAGUUCUACUGAUAUUCUGGCUACUGGAUCCUUCAGUUUCGAAACUUUUACUGAUAAGGAUCUUAAAUUCAUCACCGAAUAUAAUAGCGAGCAUGGUGCUGAUGUAUUUCGUCAAAUACUUCACUCCUUUUGCCCCUCCAUCUAUGGGCAUGAACUUGUAAAGGCCGGUAUCACUCUCGCGCUUUUUGGUGCUGUGCAGAAGCAUUCAAUGGAUCAGAACAAAGUCCCAAUUAGAGGAGACAUCCAUGUUAUUAUUGUUGGCGAUCCAGGACUAGGCAAGAGCCAAUUACUAAAAGCUGCAGCAUCUGUUUCUCCACGGGGAAUAUAUGUAUGCGGGAAUACAACCACAAAUGCUGGUCUAACAGUUGCUGUGGUUAAAGAUUCAAUGACAAAUGAUUAUGCAUUUGAGGCUGGGGCUAUGGUUCUUGCUGACCGUGGGCUAUGUUGCAUUGAUGAGUUUGACAAAAUGUCAGCAGAGUAUCAGUCCUUACUGGAAGCCAUGGAGCAGCAGUGUGUAUCUGUGGCAAAGGCUGGCCUUGUGGCGAGUUUAUCUGCCCGCACUUCUGUGCUGGCAGCUGCUAAUCCUGUUGGUGGUCAUUACGACCGAGGCAAAACAGUGAAUGAGAAUUUAAAGAUGAAUGCUGCCCUGCUCUCUCGGUUUGACCUGGUUUUCAUUUUACUUGACCAGCCAGACUUGUUUCUAGAUAAGAGACUAUCAGACCACAUAAUGGCACUCCAUACCAAUGACAGAAGUCCUUGCUCAUCCAACAAGAGGCUAAGAACAGUGCCUCAAUUUAAUGACAGUAUGGGGAUUGGAAUUGAUGAGAAAAAAUUGGCUUCAAGGCUGAGACUACACCCAGAGAAAGAUAGGGACUUUGUUCCGUUACCCGAACCACUUCUUCGCAAGUAUAUAUCUUACGCGAGAAGCUAUGUUACCCCCCGUAUGUCAGAACCAGCAGCGGUGGUACUGCGGAAAUAUUACUUGAAUUUGAGAGCACAUAGUACUUGUUCUGAUGGCACACCCAUCACAGCCAGACAAUUGGAAAGCCUUGUGAGGUUAGCAGAAGCUCGCGCUCGGGUGGAUCUAAGAGAAGAAGUGACUGAACAAGAUGCGAAGGAUGUUGUUGAGAUCAUGAACGAAUCCUUAUAUGACAAAUAUGUUGAUGAGCAUGGUUGUGUGGACUAUGCUCGGAGUGGUGGGAUGAGCCAACAGAAGGAGGCAAAAAGACUUAUGAGUGCCUUAAACAAGCAAUCUGAGUUGCAGCAAAAGGAUCACUUUUCAAGAGCCGAGAUACGGAGCUUAGCAGAUAAAAUCAGCUUGCAAGUUCCAGAUUUAGAUGAUAUUAUGGAAAGAUUGAACAGUGCCGGUUAUAUUGUACAUAAAGGACAAAACAUAUACCAGAUAUUGACCUCAUCAUGUUCACGGACCCAGCCAACAAGGUCAAGAUGA
rnacentral:rRNA from 1 species